rnacentral:rRNA from 1 species
AGUGAACGCUGGCGGUAGGCCUAACACAUGCAAGUCGAACGGCAGCACAGAGGAGCUUGCUCCUUGGGUGGCGAGUGGCGGACGGGUGAGGAAUACAUCGGAAUCUACUCUGUCGUGAGGGAUAACGUAGGGAAACUUACGCUAAUACCGCAUACGAACUACGGGUGAAAGCAGGGGACCUUCGGGCCUUGCGCGAUUGAAUGAGCCGAUGUCGGAUUAGCUAGUUGGCGGGGUAAAGGCCCACCAAGGCGACGAUCCGUAGCUGGUCUGAGAGGAUGAUCAGCCACACUGGAACUGAGACACGGUCCAGACUCCUACGGGAGGCAGCAGUGGGGAAUAUUGGACAAUGGGCGCAAGCCUGAUCCAGCCAUACCGCGUGGGUGAAGAAGGCCUUCGGGUUGUAAAGCCCUUUUGUUGGGAAAGAAAUCCAGCUGGCUAAUACCCGGUUGGGAUGACGGUACCCAAAGAAUAAGCACCGGCUAACUUCGUGCCAGCAGCCGCAGUAA